rnacentral:rRNA from 1 species
AACGACUCUCGGCAACGGAUAUCUCGGCUCUCGCAUCGAUGAAGAACGCAGCAAAAUGCGAUACUUGGUGUGAAUUGCAGAAUCCCGUGAAUCAUCGAGUCUUUGAACGCAAGUUGCGCCCGAAGCCUUCCGGCCAAGGGCACGUCUGCCUGGGUGUCACGC